rnacentral:lncRNA from 1 species
UUCCGAUCUGUUCACUACACUACAAGAAAGAAGACCUUUUAUAUUGGAAGAUAUCGACGUAAAAUCGACGUAAUGGGCCAUUUACGUCAAAUUAGUGACGAAUGAAAAAUUAUCGUAAAACAAUCAUCGUAAAAGAGAAAUCGUCGUAAAAUCUUCGUAAAUUACCAACACAAUAAAAUCGUCAGAAACAAUUCGUCGCAAAAACGACGUAAACGUUCCAACGAAAGUACGACGAAUUAAUUUUAACACAACAACGACGUAAAAUCGAUGUAAAAUUACAUCGGAUUUACAACAAUUUCGAGACGAUCUAUUUCGCAAAAGUCAAAUAAAUUUAUUAUAGAUCGACGUAAAAUCGUCGUAAUAUAUCGACGUAAAGUCGACAAAAAGUAUAUGGACGUUUUAAAAUAUUUGCCUUUAAUUAGACGUAAAUUUACGACGAGUUUACGUCGAAUUAGAAAAAUAAUUAUUAAAAUUGGAUUUUAAUUUAAUUAUUGAAUUUUUAAAAUAAUCAAAUAAAGGAAAAUUUAAAUUUAAAUUCGAAAAUAAUUCAUAAAUUAAAAUACAAAAUUAAAUACAAUUUAAAAAAAAUAAAAACUAAUCUACACAGUAAAUUCAUAAUCGUCGAGGUUGAGAUCGACGUCUCGAGGAGGCUCUCCGUCAUGUCCGUCCGUCGCUGUUGUACCAUCGUUUCCCGUCUGCACUACGGGAUCCGAAGUCUGACCCUGCGUCUGCUGGUCAGAAGGUCCACCCGCAAUAAUCCUGUGUGCUCGCCGUUGCCUCUCUCGAAAGUGGAUCGUGAAUAUUUCUAAUCCGUUUUUGAAGUCUUCAGUCAAUGACCCAUCAACAUUUUUGGGCGUAUACAUCCACUUUCGUAGAUCGUAUAUAGACAUUUAAAAACAAAUAAAUGACUUUUUGUUUUUGAAUUUUGAUAUAAAUUUCAACUACUAAAAAUUUUACUCAAACAUUCAAAGACUCAAAAAAUUGUGUCUUUAUAUGUUUUUUUGGUUGAUGGAAUAAUGAGAGAAGAAAUGGUAUAUAUAGAUUUUUUGUUUGGUUACCAACAUAUUGCCAUUGAAUAUUAACAUCAAAUUUACGUCGAAAUAAAAUUUACAUUAUAUUUACAUCGAUAUUACGUCAACUACAAGAUGGAGGCCAAUUCAUCGUAUUAUCGAUGUAAAAUUUACGACAAUGUUACGACGAAAUGUAAUUCGUUCUUUAUUCGUCAUAAUGUUGUCGUAAGUUUAUGACGAUUUUACGAGAAUACUAUUUUAUAUCGAAACGACGAAAUAUUUUGACGUCGUACGUAAUUUCGUCGUAAAUUUACUACGACCAUAAAUCGACGUAAAAAAUUCGUUGGAAAUGUCCCUCUUUCUUGUACUAUACAAGGAUUCAUAAAUAAUGAAGCUGUUUUGUUCGGUGAGUGCAUUAAUGUGAGUUAUACAAAAUUUACAUUGGUUACAAAAUUAGGAGACCAUCUCCAUCGGUUUGUUAGGUAAUUUAGAUAAUAAUAAAAAUUAAGAAAUGAUUAAAAAGUUAACAAUUCGGGUUGUUAGGUUGUUGUGGAAGAACCCAGGAAUAUAUAAAAACGUGGCACCAUGUCAUUGGUGGAAGAUUUUUUAUGUGUGUGGGCUAAAAAUCAGGAAUAAGCCCACAUAAAAAUUCUUAAUUUUUUUAAUUAAAAAUUCAUAAUUAAAAAAAUUUUAAGAAACCCAAUCCCAGGUUUAGGGAUGGAGAUGUUUUGCGUGAGUACAUUUUCUCUUUCUUAUAUAAAGUGGAUCCACCAUAACUCCUAAACUAAAUGAGACACACGAUGAGGCCGCAUACAGUGUGGAGAAGGUACACAAAUUCCGCAUUAUCGUUAUAAAAGCUAUGCGAAGUCUUUAAAAAUUAUCUACCGUUCUAAUAACUAACUAAAGUAAUCACGAGAAAUAGUAGUUGGAUAACAAGAUUUUUUUUGUCUUUCUGCUAAGGGCGAAAAAAGUAAUGUAACCUGAGCUCUUUUGCAUCUCUUCUCCGGCGAUGCCGACAGCGUCGGUCUCAUCCUCUUCUCCUCAUGGGGUAGAAAAAACAACCCAAAAAAUCUCCACCAUCCAAACCCUUGUGCCCUCCUCUGCCGCAGGUGAAAUAACCUUCACCAUCUUUGUUUUCACUCAAUGAAGCCGCAAAUCCCUUUGCUCACUCAGUGGCGGGGGAUCCUUCGUCUCUAGCACAGCAAAUCCUUACUGAUUCUGAUUCUCUAGCCUCGACUGACAGCAACUCUCGCUCAGAUCCAAUUGUGAUAGUUCCUGCAACAGUCCAAGCCCCCAAAUAUCAUUUAUGUAAAAGUUGUUGAGACAACAGAUCCAGAACUGAAGAACUCAUCAGUAGAGGCACCAAUUGUCCCGACAAUCCCUGCCUCUGAAUCUGUUUCCGUGAAAUAGUCUUUGGCUGCAGUUCCGGAAAUCCUAAAAAGUUCAAAACCCACUGUGAGUGAUUUGUGGUCAGGAUUAUUCAAAGGUGCUACGAAGCAACUGCAGAAGAAAGGCACAACUUUUACCUUCCCAUCCGAUGAAGCUUAUGUGAAGAUUCUCAAAUAUGUAAUCGAAAAGAACAAAAAAUCCUGGGAAAGUUUCAUCUGUGGGCAAUUAUACACAGAUACGCCCUCCCAGAAAACUGUUCAUAACAUCGUGAAUGGAAUUUGGAGUAAGCAUUUCUGUGAUAUUACAGUAUCAAAGAUAGAGGGCAAUACCUACCUUUUUCAGGAUACCAAAUCCUUCCACUCGACAAUGGGUUUUAACUCAGAGAUUAUGGCAGAUAGAAGGUAAAACGAUGUUUGUCACGAAUUAGGAGUCUGGCUUUGUUCCAUUGAAGCCCGAGCUCUCGUUGUCCCCUAUUUUGCUGAACUAAGAAAUGUUCCUCUACAGUUCUUCAAUGAAGACGGCUUUGAACACAUUGCGGGAUUUGUUGGAGAGCCAAAAUGUCUCCAGCCUAUAACUGCAAACAAGACAAAUCUGUAAGUAACGAAGGUAUUCACGAUAACUGAUCCUCGUAAACCUCUUUCAGAAGUUGUCAAUAUCCAAUUUGAUUCUGGAGAGAUCAAUAGAGUUUUAGUGUCCAGUCUGUGGAUGCCACCACUGUUUUAGUUCUGUAAGAGGUGAAUCAUCAUCUGAGGCAGUGCAAUGAAGCUCCAAUCUUUUGCAAGAAGUGCAACUCAAAAAUUCACGUGGAAGAGAAUUAUGCAAGAACCGUCCUACCUGAACAAAAUAAUCCAAACUCCCAUAGAAACAGAGCCAAGGGAUUAGCUGGAAAUACUUAGAAGUGGGUUAAAGUUGCUGAGAAAUCAUCUGCCAAAUCUGUCAAGUUUACUGAGUCUUCACUGGGGAAAGAAAACAAAUCUUCAAAGGGAGAGUUCAGUGGCGCUGUGGUCUGGUACAUCUUCAAGGGAAGAUCGACGAAAAUGUUAAAGGUCCUCCUAUCCCUGACACAAAAAAAUCAUCAGGAGUGGAAUCAGAUUCUUCGGACGUUGCUUUUGUGGACUUCAGCAAUGUUGUAAACCUGCAGGGUGAGCAGAGUGAGUUCGCAGAGGUAGUUUCAAAAAAGAAGAAGAAGGAUAAGAGGGACAAGAGCCCCAACAAAAGCAGCUUAAUAAAUGGUUGAAGAAAAACAAACCGUUUUAUGAGAGUAUUAUAGAAACCCAUGUGAAACAGCCUAAAUGUAGGAAUUUCAUUAAUAGAUCGCUUCCCGGCUGGUCUUUUGAACAGAAUUAUGAUUUCUCCAUUUAACAAGUGUAAAGGCUGUUGUGGUGGCUAAGUCUUUGCAGAUGAUCACCUACAAAGUUAUGUUUCCUGAUGUGCAGCAGUGGGUUAUUUUGUCAGUGAUGUAUGUUUCUACAGUUGAGACUCUGAAAAAGGAUCUUUGGGCAGAGCUGAUUGUUUUGUCUUCAAGCCAGACUGUUGAAGAAAAAGAAUGGAUGGUCAUUGAGGAAUUUAAUCAAGUUCUCCAUCUACAUGAGCAUUCAAGAGCUAUUACUCUUAAUGUGGAUAGGAGGACAAGAGAAUUCAGGCAGUGUUUGUUGUCGGCUGAGGUGUCAGAUUUGAACUACUGAGGAAACACAUUUACUUGGUGGAAUAAAUGUAGUGCCAGGCCAACUGUGAAGAAGUUGGACCACAUUCUUGUAAAUGAGGUUUGAUCUACUUUUUUCCCCUCUUCAUAUGCAAUAUGUGGAGAGCAUGGUUUUUCAGACUAUGCUUCUUGUGUUGUCGUCUUGGAGUUGGGUUCUCAAAGGCAGAGGAGACCUUUUAAAUUCUACAAAUUUUGCCUCCAGAACCAAGACUUUUACCCUCUGGUUUGUGAACAUUGGUUCUCAUGUAACAUGGUGGAAUCAGCAAUGUUAUGUCUCUCAAGGAAGCUUAAGCUUCUGAAAAAUGUCAUAUGUAGAUUCAGUAGAGAUAAUUUCUAGGAUUCAGAGAAAAGAGUUAUUGAAGCUCAUGAGAAGCUUUUGCUUUGCCAGUCUUAGACUCUAACUGAUCUGUCUCGAACAAAUGCAAAACUGGCGUUUGAAGCACAAAGAAAGUGGCAGAUCCUGGCAAGUGCUGAAGAGUCCCUUUUCUGCCAGAGAUCAAGUGUAACCUGACUUAAAGAAGGUGAUUGUAACACUUCUUAUUAUCACAGAAUGACUGCAUCUAGGAAAGCCAUAAAUCACAUUCACUUCCUUAUUGCACCAGAUGGAGAACAUUUUGAAUAUCAAACAGGAGUUUAAGAGCAUUGUGUUGAUUAUUUCUCACACUUUAUGGGUUGUGAGGUUGGUCCCCAGAUGCUGAUCUAGUCGGAUAUGGAGCUCCUCCUUCCAUUUUGAUGCUCUCAGGCCCAAAAAGAGAGUAUGAUAAAGAGCUUCUCGAAGGAGGAAAUCAAACACCUGCUUUUCUCAUUGCCAAAAAACAAAACCAGUGGACCUAAUGGGUAUUCCGCUGAGUUUUUCACCUGUUACUGGAGUAUUGUAGGGCUGAGGUAUGUGAGGCAGUUGAAGAAUUCUUCCGAUUUGGAAAGCUGCUUCAGCAAUGGAACACUACAACUUUGAUCCUCAUUCUCAAUAUCACAAACGCCUCUUCAACAUCUGAUUUCAGGCCAAUAUCCUGUCUCAACACUAUUUACAAAGUCAUAUUCAAGUUAUUGGCAACCAGAUUUCAGAAGAUCCUGUCUCAGGUAAUAUAUCCCUCUUAAUAGGUUUUCAUGCCAGGUAGGCUGCUUGCAGAAAACGUUCUACUGGCUACGAAAAUUAUGCAUGGCUAUAACUGGAGGAACAUCGAUUCCAGAGCAAUGCUUAAGGUGGAUCUUAGAAAGGCAUUUGAUUCAGUAAGAUGGGACUUUGUCCUCUUGACCUUAAAAGCGUUGGAGUUAUCAGAAAUAUUUGUUAAAUGUAUCAGUCAGUGCAUCACAACUCCCUCGUUUACAAUUUCAGUUAAUGAUAUCACCAGAUGCUACUUCAAAAGCGCAAAAGGAUUAAGGCAAAAAGACCCUCUCUCUCCUUACCAUUUUUCCUUGCAACGGAGGCCUUCUCAGGAUUUUCCACUCUAGAUUUGAGGCUGGGUAUAUCCAUUACCAUCCCAAGACGGCAGAACGGAACAUAUCUCACCUGAUAUUUGCAGAGGACGUGAUGAUUUUUUUUAUGGUGGGAGUUCAUCGUUACACAGCAUAACUGAAGGAUUAGAAAACUUUGCGUCUUGGUCAGGAUUGCACAUGAACAGAGACAAGACUCAACUAUUUCAGGCAUGAGUAAACCACAUUGAAUCCACUGCAAUGGCAAGCUAUGAAUUCACUGUAGGUUCACUAUCAAUCCAAUACUUGGGUCUUCCCCUUAUGCAUCGUAAACUGAGACUCUCUAAGUAUGACCUCCUUUUGGAGAAGCUUGCUAAUAUAUUCAGAUCUUGGGCUGUUACAACCCUCUCAUUCCCAGGGAGAGCUCAGCUGAUUGCUUCAGUGAUAUUAGGAACCGUCAACUUCUAGAUUUCCACGUUUAUGCUCCCCAAAGGUUGUAUUAAAAAUUGAAUCUCUGUGUGCUAGGUUAUUGUGGUCUGGUAGUAUUGUGACAAGAUGAGGAGUAAAAGUAGCAUGGUUUACUGUGUGUUUGCCUAACUCUGAAGGAGGUCUGGGCCUGAGAAAAUUUUCUGUGUGGAACAAGACGCUAUGUCUGCGGUUCAUUUGGUUACUAUGCUCUGAAAGUGGAUAUCUCUAGGCUGAAUGGCAUAUCAGAGCUUCUGGUUGGUGGAGGCAUAUUCAGCUGAUUCAUGGACGUGGAAAUCUCUAUUGGAUCUUAGACCAUUGGCUGAAAUGCUCUUAGGAAAUCUGUUGGAAAUGGACGAAAAACAAAUUUUUGGUUGGAUUUUUGGACACCUCUUGGUCCACUAAUUAAACUUCUGGGUAAUGAUGGCCCGAGAAAUAUCAGGCUCCGUCUUUCUGCUAUAGUCGCAGAUACAUGCACAAUGGAGACUUGGAGAAUCCCAUCGCCAAGAUCUGUAGCACAGCUGAGUCUCCAUAUGCACCUAACGACUAUCAACUUACCUUCUUCCUCUCAGAUCGAAGAUGACUGUUUUUGGUUGGAAAAUGGUGUUAAGUGCAGCCAGUAUUCCUCCUCUAAGACUUAGGAUGAUCUAAGGCCACAACAAGGUGAAACAGUGGUCUAAGCUUGUAUGCUUUAAAGAUUGUGUUUCGAGGCAGGCUUUCAAUAUAUGGAUUGCACACUUGAAUAGGCUCCCCACUAGAGCCAGAAUAGCUUUUAGAGGAACAAAUAUAUUCACAGAUUGUUGUCUUUGUUCCAGAGACGAGGAAACGAGAGAUCAUUUGUUGUUCAGUUGUGCUUAUAGCUCGGAAAUCGGAAAUCUGGAGGCUGAUACUUACAAGGUUAGACCAUACCCAGAGUCUGUUCAUCUUGUGGUCGGAGUUGUUAUCAUGGAUAAGUAUGCGUUCUGAUGCUGCCCCUUAUACCUGAAAGGUGGUGGCUCAGGCUAUGGUUUACCACAUUUGGAUGUCAAAGAAACAAUUUGCUGCACAACUAAUAAAGGAUUCCUGCAUCCAGCAUUUUCAAGUCCAUUGAUCGUGUGACUCGAAACACCAUUACUACGAGAAGACAAAGACGUUGCUUUAGCAACUUUAAUGUCUCUUUGGCUUCAAUGAAACAAUAUAAAAUCUAAUUUACUGUGUAUUGUUCUCCUUGUUUUUUAUUUCUUUUUUGCCAAGGAAGUUUUGUAACAGGUUAGCAUCUUUUAUAACCUUCUUUUCAUUUUAAUGAUAUUAACAUUCAUAGCAAAAAAAAAAAAAAAAGAAAUGGUACUUGCAAUGUUUUACACCAUGUUUGUGUUUUAAAAAUAUUUCACACUACAUAUUCAAAGUUAUAAUGCAGGAUACAAUUUGUUUCUAGUCGAAAAGGUCAAAAAUAUCCAAAUUUUUUAUGUGGUGUUUUCAAGAAUUAUGCUUUUAAGAGAAUUUAAGAAAAUCGGACUAUUCUAUCGAGAUACUAUAACUUAUUCAACAGAAUAUCUAAAGCAUUUGUUCUGAAAGCAAGAAUUCUAGAUGCUCUUCUCCCCAUUUGUUUUUGGUCGAAUGCCACAAAAGAUGUUGAGAAUUAGGCACAAGAACCGGGUUCAAUAAGUUGACAAAUACCAAACCGAGGACCGACGUGGAAUCGUGGAGAAAAAGUUACAUUACAAUAAAGAUAAAUAAAGAAAAGGGAAGAUGACGUAAAGCUCAGAUUUGGAGCCUAACGAACUCCACGUCACCGCCUAAGUUCAUCCAUUGAAAUUUGACGGCGUCUUCUACUCUUCUAUCAUAACCCUUCGUUCUUUCAUGUGAACCACGUCACCGCCAUUCUCUUUUUUUUUUCUUUCUUAAUACAUUUCUCAAUAUGCGUCCAAUAUCAUAAAUAUAAUAUAUAUAUAUAUAUACAAUUUAACCUAUUAAGGCAUUGCAACUUGUAGUGAACUUUCAAAGGAACUUGCAUCCACAAAUUUAAACAUUUUUGCAUGUUGUAGAAUUGAACACGAAUAAUAAAGUGUGUAUUGAUGAUACACUUGUGUUACUUAUUUGACAAUUUAUUUGGUUUUCUUAGAAAAACUGAAACUGGCUUAUACAGUAUGUUUGUACACAUUUUUUGUAUUCGAAGAAAUUGGGGCAUCAUACAGUGACAUUGCUAUUAAUGUUUCUUCUAUAUCAAACCAAGUGAUAACAAAAUAUAAAAAGUAAUAAUGUUGACUUGUAAAUAAAGUAAGAAAAUUAAAUUCUGUCAUUUCAGAAGAGGAAGUAUGUCACAUGUAUAAUAGAUCAUCGAUACUUUUCAUGAGAACUUCCACAAGAAAGCCAUUGACUUCUUAUACCUUUCUCAAUUUUCCAGCUUGACCCAUUUUUUUCUUUUGAAGUUAUGAGAACUUUAUGUAUAAAAACAUUUUAGACUAGACCUCAAGAAAAUUCAGAUAUUUUUAUAAUUUGUGAAAAAAAUGUUGAAAUAAAUUGAUUGGAUUAUUUCUAUUACUAACGUUAAUCCAGUAUUAUGGUGGUCUAUAUUAUUAUUAUAGCCACCUAUACGGAAUGUUGAUGUGCCAAACAAUGGAGACACACAUUGUGUACUUGGAUUAAUGAAUAAAAUGACAUGUAUCAGUCUAUGGGACACAUAGUAAACUAGAUUAUUUCAUACCUAAAAUGCUAUAAUAUUUGAUUGAUAAAUGAUAAGAACAAAGAAAAGUUCUUGCAAGUUUGAAAAAAAAAAAGAGAAUAUCUUGACUCGUGCGGAUCUCAAACUUUUCUUUUCUAUCCUCUUCUCAAAUUAUAUUCCAAGUAAAACACGCAAUUACCAUAAGAGUUAAACAAUAUAAAAAGAGUUCUCAACUAAAUCUUCCAAAAGAGGCUUUCUCUUAUGGUUCACAUGUAAGUAUAUACUUUAAUUUACAUAAAAUUUAAUUUAACGAAUCCUAAUGAGCCUAUUUUCUGAACACGUACAAAUCAAUUUAAUGCAUAUCUUCACAUUUACACAAGAAUAAAGAAACUACACAUAUUUUUACUCCAUUGCUUCUGAAUUUAUAUAAUUCUUUCCAUUUAAUAUGAUUGAGUUUUUAUCCCUCUAACAAGGAAAAAUAUUAUAUAUAGAUACAAGGAAAGCCCAUUUCAUUAUCUAUCUUCUCUUUGAUUCAGCGAGCGAAAUAAAAACAAAAGGCCAAAAAUGGGUGCAGACGCAAUCCAAACGAACGGUCACGAUCCCGCCAAGUUAACCGCCGCGAGAGGGAUCCAACGGUUGAGAUGCGCCGUGAAGAACUACGAGUGGGGCAAACUCGGACCGGACUCACUUGUUGCGAGGCUCCACGAGGCGAAUUCAGGGGACCGAGUCGACCCGGUGGUUCCUCACGCCGAGUUGUGGAUGGGUACUCACGAGUCGGCACCGAGUUACGUUGUGAAGGAAGAAGAAUUCGGGUCGGGUCGUAAUGGAUCCGAAUGCAUGGUUACAUUGAAAUCAUGGGUUUUGGAUUAUCCGAAUUUACUCGGGUCUAGAGUCGUGGACAAAUGGGGUUGUGAUCUUCCUUUCCUCUUCAAGGUAUUAUAUUUUAAAAGUUUCCAAUUAAAACAUGUAUAUUCAAAACCUUCUUUCAAAAAAAAAAAAAAACAUGUAUAUUCAGAUUCUGUUUAUGGUAAAUCUUUUUGUUUUUCCAGUUUUGUCUCAUACAUAAUUGUUCAGGAACAAAAGUAUUAUUUAUUUGAUCCUAAGAUUCUCAUUUUGAAUAUUUUUGCUCUGUUUUGAGGAUUUUACUUUUUGACUCUGUUUUCUUAUAAAAUUUCUAAUUAAAAGUCAAAACAUAUAUAUAUAUAUAUAUAUAUAUGUAUUUUUUUGUAAUUUCAGAUUCUGUGAAUUGUCAAUUUCUCCACUUUUUAUAUUUACAUAUAUUAUAUAUACAGCCAAUUUGUCUUGUUAGAUACAUAUAUAUUUUGGCUCUGUUUUGAGGAUGAUACAUUUUAACUCUGUUUUCUCAAUUUAUAAAAAUGCAUUUCUUUUUCUCUGUGUGUUUUAAAUUUAAAACAUAAAGGUUUGAUUCUAAUGAAUAAGAGUUUGAUGUUGAAAUGUGCAAAAAAUAAAAACAGGUUUUGUCAGUGACGAAAGCAUUGUCGAUUCAAGCACAUCCAAACAAAGCCUUAGCAGAGAAAUUGCAUAGAGAAGAUCCUCUUCUUUACAGAGAUGCUAACCAUAAGCCUGAGAUUGCUCUCGCCAUUACUCCUUUUCAAGCUCUUUGUGGUUUCGUAUCUCUUAAUGUACUAGAUUCUUCACUUCUCUGCAAACAUCUAAUUUAGUCGGUUUUUGAUUUAGAUAACUUCGGUUAUUUUGCCUAUCACAUAUGCUAAAUCCAAAAUUGAACCGGUUCUGUACCACUUUUGAUAUCAAAUUCAGGAGCUGAAGGAAGCCAUCGCCAAUGUACCAGAAAUCACAGAGCUUGUCGGAAGUAAAGCAGCAGAUCAAAUCUUCAAAGUCAACGAACACGAUGGAGACGAAACAAGUGUUAAAUCCGUUGUCCGUUUGAUUUUCACGCAAUUGAUGUCUGCAAACAUCAAUGAUACAAAGCAAGUCAUAUCACAGAUGAAGAUUCGUCUGAUCUCAGAAACAAACCACCGUGAGUUAUCGGAGAAGGAGAAGUUAGUAUUGGAACUAGAGAAACAGUAUCCAGGUGACGUGGGCGUGAUCUCAGCAUUCUUCUUUAACCACGUCAAGCUUAAUCCCGGAGAGGCUUUGUAUCUUGACGCCAACGAGCCACACGCUUACAUUUCCGGCGACUGUGUUGAGUGUAUGGCGGCUUCAGACAACGUUGUUAGAGCUGGUCUCACUCCGAAACACCGCGAUGUUCAAACUCUGUGUUCUAUGCUGACCUACAAAUUGGUAACUUUCUUUACACGUUAACGUUUUUUUUGGUUUAGUUGGCUAGCAAAAUUUGGAUUGUACCCUAACCCUAACCAAAACCGAAAAUUUAUUUUUCUUUGUUUGGUUAUUGAUUAAUUGUACCGGAUUUGUUUCAGGGCUACCCGGAGAUUUUGAAAGGAUUUCCUCUGACUCCAUACAUUACGAGAUACCUUCCACCAUUUGAUGAGUUUGAAGUGGACCAUUGUGAUCUUCCUAGAGAGAAAUCCACUGUUUUUCCGGCCAUACCAGGGCCAUCGGUUUAUCUGGUUAUUGAAGGAAAAGGGACAUUGAAAACCGGUUCAUCUCAAUUGUUGGUUAAACGAGGAGAUGUUUUGUUUGUUCCGGCACAUAACGAGAUUCACGUAACCGGAGAAAGUGAUGUGAUGAAGCUUUACAGAGCUGGAGUCAGCAGCAGAUUCUUUCAAACAAUGUAGACUAAGUAAAGAUACAUAUAUAUAUAUUUAAUUUGUUAUCUAAAUGUAACCAUAGGGAUCAAGGCAUUGACGUGAUCAUAGUCAAUAUUGGUCCAUGUUCUUUAAUCCUACAAAUGUCCCAUUACGAAUCAAGGGUUCAAGGGGUUGUUUUUCUAUUAACUUUUGUUGUUUCUUCUACACCUUUAAAAUUGAAUUAUAUAUGUAAAAUGAUUAUAAAACAAUGUUUUUUUUUUUACUUUUUGCUAUUGUAGUGUAGUAACUAGUAAUUAUUCUUCCUUUACCUGUUUAAACUUUAAUUUCUAGAACUACUCUGCAAAAGCACAUUUGUUCAGUUGUAAUAUGUAGAGAUCGAACCACAGAGACGAGAAAUUCGCUCAAUAAACCUAAUAGACUCUAAUUGCGCUAAGAAGAAAUAAUGAAAUUGAGAGCAGCAAUGCAAUAAAAAACGGUUUUAAAUUCGAUGGGAAAGAAUUAGGCUCAGGGUGUUUCACAGAAAAUCAGAGAAUGCAGACAAAUCGAUUAGUCAUGAUUCAGAUUUAAGCGCAAUUCUUGAACUCAAAUCACGAAAUUAUAAUUAACUAACUUUUGUUGCGAAAAUUAUUUAAAUCUAAAUCCCAGAAUCCCAAUUUUCUUUGCAAUCCUAAAGAUAUAAAUUAGCCUUAAGUGCAGGUUCGAUAUGUUCACAAAGUGUCUAAACCAAUUUUUUUUGUGGAUAGCUACUUUGCUCAUCCUAGGUUCUUUCGGAUUAUUCAAUUACAGUUUCGUGUCAAUCAAUUAACCUAAGAUCUAAGUUCUAGGUGAUCAGUCCAAAAUUAGCUUUAAGAAUAAUCUAUGGUGAAUUACUAAUCAGAUUAUGACCCCUAACUAAUUAAUUAUCUAAAAUUCAAAGGGAUCCCUUAUGAGAACCCUAAACCUAACAAACAAACUACUCAAAUAUGGAGAUUGAAUCAAUAAACAUGAAUGAAUAGAUUGCAGAAAGCAGUAAAAAGAUUAAUAAACAGAGGUUCAAAAUCUUCUCUCAAACAAACAGAGUCUCAGACUUGUCUCCCUAAAAGCUCUCUCAAGAUCAAUAGAAAUCAAAAGUCUCAAAGAAAAUCUAGAGUGUAGCCAAAACACGUGGCUGAAAACCCUAUCAAAAGCUAAAACACAUGUUGGACUUCCCUGUAAAUAUUGGAGACUUCUGGGCUCAAGAGAUUCUUUAAAACUUAGACAAAAUCACGUUUUUCCUUAUUCACGACAUUGGUGUCGAGCAACACCAAAACAUAUAAAUCAUCUUUCACGAAUUUGAUCCCUGCUUAGUUCCAAAAUGCUCUAAAAUCUCCAAUUAAACUCCAAAUACAUUUAAGACCUGAAAAGACUCCAAAAAAUUAAAAAAACACUAAAGAGACUCUAUAAAUAAAACCUAUCAUGAUCAAAAACCAUAAAAAAAAACCAUGAUAUAUCAUUCUCCAUGAUAAGCAUUUUUCGAAUGGUCUGAGUCGAACAAAACAAUGUUCUCUAAAGUAUAAGGCCAAUUCUUUUUGCCUCCCUCGUCACUUACCUUUUGUUUGUGGCUUCCAUGGCAUAGACUAGAGAGAUGACCCCGAGAAGACCUAAUCUAGCACGCAUUUGUUUGGAUGUUGCUAAUGUUCCGUUUUAAAGUACAUAUGCAAAGAUCGUGGAAAGUAAAACGAACUCAAUCUUAAGUCUUGAGACAAUGAUUUUUGCCAAUUUUCCGGUAAGCUUUCCCGGUGAAAUCUUUCACUGGAAUGACCUGAUUAUGGAUGCGCUGGAAACUUGAGUACUAUAACGUGAUAUACUUAUAUGUCAAAAUCGAAUUUAAACUGAAUGAGAAAUGAGGAUUCUUAGAGAGUAUAGCUUGAAAGCUUAAAAAUAACAUAAGUUACCAAAUGACAAGUGUGAUUUGUCCCACAUUAGCAAUUCAACGUUACAUUUUGAACGUAGUGUUACGUUCUCCCCUUGAUAAUACUCAAUAGAUCUGCUUCUAGCCUGUCCCAACAAUCUGAUUCGGAUUGAGAAUUGCGGUUUUUGCGAACGUUGUUAAAGAUUUCCAAAAAAAAAAAUAUUUCAUUACGGCUUUUCACAUCAAAUCGGAAAAACUCUGCUUAGUUUUAACUUUUUAGGGAAUUUGAUAAAUAUUUGACAAACUUUGUGAAAAUAACUUUUGGAGUAGCAAAAUUCCGCAAAAAAAAAAAAAAAACUCAGAGUAAACUUACUGACAAAAGAAAAAAGUUUCCUCAAGUUGGUUUAGUCGCAUUCCUUUUGUCAAGCACUUAAUCCACUACAAAGACGUUUUGUUGUAAUUUAACCGAACUGAACAAUCAUUCCAAAUCUUAAUAAGCAGCUAAAGAGAGACAUUGAGAGACCAAGAUAAACCGGUUUACUUGCACCUACUUGCUGUUUGUUAAAGCUUUGGUUACAAAAUGUGAAACGAUUCCAACCGGACAGAAGAGAAGGCACAAUGAAACCGAAUGCCUCGUCUCAAUCUUAUUCUCUAGCCCAUCAUUAAAAACUUGCCUGCAGAGAAACACUCAAAACAUGAGUUAUAAGAAACAUGCUAGGAUCAAUCAGAACCUGAAAAGUGCAAUAUAGUACCUUGCAGCGAAAAGAUCUAUAACAAGAAGAUGAAUCCAAGCAGAAGCAAGAGUCAUUUCACUUGAGAACAUUUUCGCUAUUCCAGACAACUGCAAAUGAAAAAAAAAAAAAGAAAUUUUAGAAACUGGAAUGUACACAUUUUCUUGUUUUCGAUAUUUCCUGAUAAUUGGAGGAAAAAGCUAAAACCUCUGGCAACAUGUAUUUACUGGAAAACAUGUAUUUGAGAGUAUCAGGCGUCCAAGAAAGGUAUAACAAAUACGCGUAUAAUACGCCUAAGACGAUAUACGGUAUGCUACUCUCCAUACACUUUUUGGUCUGCACAAGGAGAAAACAUACACUCAAUUCAAUAUGAACUUUUUUGAUUCUGCACAAGAAGUUGUAAAACUGCUAAACAAAAACUCACAAUUUCAGCUUUUGGAGCUACAACCAUUAGAGUGUAAAAGGGUAAAACAGCGGUUGUUCCAACCGCAAAUACACUGCUUGCAAUCUGAGAAGUAGCUAUCCCUGCACAAGAACAUGUUAUGUCUCUGUCCUACUUUCAAUUUAAACAUUGAAGAGCUAUAGAUUCUAGACAUAUAUCAAGCCUCUUUUUGGUUUAUAAUGUUUCAGUUAAGAGACAUUACAUGAAGCUCGUACACCAGAGGAUUUCUUUUGAACAAGAGAGGACGAGUUCGAUGAAACAUUAGGGAAAAGUGCGAUUUUUGAUCCUCCGAUAAAGCUCCAACGAUUCUGAAGUCGAAUACUUGACGAACCAACGCAUAGUUUAGACUUGACAUUGCUGAGAGAAAGACUUGUUAUCGAGCUCUUAGCUGAAAUGUUGCGAUUCAUCAUCUGAAUCACCAAACAAAAUGAAUCAAUCUGAUGAAAUAUAAAAAACUUCUUUAUUUCUUAAAAUUUAGGAAUCUGAGACCAAAAGCACUUUGAUCUGAACAACAACGAAUCAGGAACAGAGUUAGGUUCUGUAACAGGGACCCAUGAGGAGUAAAUUCAACUUCUUUAAUGUCUGCGUCAAUUCGAUCUGAUUCAAAGGAUAAAACUUUAAGGUUACCCAUAAGGAAUCUGAACUAUUCGAAAUUGUAGAAAGCUCGACAUAAGAAUCUAAUCCGACAAUCUCCAACAACUGUACAUACAUACAUACAUACAUACAUACAUGAUACAUACAUACAUACAUACACACACAUAGAUAUAGACAUAUAUCUGCGUAUACCGAAAAUUGGAGAAGAAUUGAAAAAGGAAGAGAAAAGGUAGAUACCGAGAGAGAUGAAGAAGACAAAGGCUGGGAAAUGCAAGAAGAUAAAGCCAUCUGCGAUUCAAAUCUUCAAUAGUCUUUGCCAGAAUUUGGCCAUUCAUUACCUUCUUCAACGAGCUCUCUCCAUAUAUAUAUGUAAAGUAUCAAUUUUUAGAGAGGAGAGUUGAGAGUUUUCCACUGGUUGAAAAGGGUAAGUGGAGAAGAAGCUAAGAGAAAAAGUGCUCACUCACUCUUUCUUCAUCAGUGUGGACAAUUAUAGUUGCUCAUCCACCCGAAUUUUUUAAAAAAGUUUUGGUCUUUUUUAGUUUUCCUCGUUUACUUCUGUUUCGCAUAAACAAAAAAAAAAGAAAAAACCAUUAUGAGUUUGAGUUAAUUUUAAAGAGAAAAUCAAAUUUAAAGAUUCUUUAUAUUGUAUGUUCAAAAUUGCAAUAUAUUAUGGAAAAAAAGAGAAGAUUUUUUCCUAAUUUUAGAUAAAAACCUUUAAUAAAAAUCAAAAAAUUAUUAAGAUAUUAAUUUAACCUUAUAUUUUAGAUAUUGUUCUUUUUCUGGUCAAUAUAAAAAAUUACAGUUUACCAUUCUUAUAUAAAAAAAAAUUAAUUAGACUCAAAUGGAAUGUUUUUAUUUUUUUAACAAGAAUAUAACUUUCAUAGAACCUAAUACCCAAAAAAAAAACAUUUGACCCGACUAAAUUAAAAUUCAAGGAAAGAUUGGAGCUUUGAUCCUUUACUCGAUAAAAAAAAGGUUCUUCAUUGUAUGAUCAAAUGACUUGUCGGAUUGUAUUUGUAGGUGGCUCAUCGUAGGAUUAAUAGCUUCUCGGAUUUUGUUAUCCUUGUCUUGUGUUUUGCUUUUUCCGUGAAGAUCAAAAUUUUCUUCUAUACAUUCCUGCUAUAUAUUCCAUCAUGUUCUACCGGUUACACUUAUAAGCCUAUAAGGAUAUCUAAUCUACUUUUUUAUUUGAUAAAAACCUAAUAUCUUUGUUAAUGGAUAUUUGUGCUUAAACUGAAUUUAGACACAACACAGGUCUAGUUCAGGACAGAACAAGACAAAAGUGACAGUGCUACUUCUACUCAGCAGUGGUUGUGACUUCCUCUAAAGACAAAAGUUGGUGUUUCCACCAUUAUUUCGGUUUUGCUUUUAUUAUAUAUUUUAUUUUAAUUUAUUUUUCGCUACAUGAGAAUUGCAUUAACGAAGGACAUUAUAUAUGAAAACAAAAAAAAACAAUAAAAAGAUAUACAUACAUGUGUCUGACACUCAUUGUUUGUGAAAUCAGUUGGGAGUAAGAUAGCGCUUGAGUGGGCUAUUUGGUAUGAUAGCUUCUCUCUAUUGAUGGGCCUUAUUGACCCACCCCACUUCAGUUUUGUUUAGUCAUUCACAACAAGAAAAACAUGAAAACAAAAGCAACACUUGUCUUUUCUAUCUCUCAAUCUGUAAGUGGUAUAUGCGCAUUUCGUUGAAUUCGAUUGAGACCAAAACUCUUUUAAAACAUAAUGUAUAGUUCUUAGGAUUAUAUGGGGAAAAUAUAUGAUGUCUCAAAGAUUUUUCAUAACAUAUUAUAUUCCUUAUAAUAAAAGGUCACCUGGGGUUUUUCUAUAAACCGGGGUUUUUUUAUAAACCGCCGGCUUUUCUAUAAACCGCCGGCUUUGUCUCUGGAGAUGUUGUAUCAUCUGCCGGCUUUGUGUAAUCCGUUGGCUUUGCUCUGUAACACUAUGGUGAUCAAUAUAAUAAUAUUCAAUGAAAAAAAAAAAAGGUCACCUAAAUAAUUAAAAAUUUGAAUUUUUACGACUCAUAUUUCUAUCCUAUUCCAAAGCUAGGAAAACAACAUAAAGAGUUACAAAUUCUUACUAUAUAGUACUUCCAACAAUAUCUUUAUGUAAAUUUGUGCCAAGUCAUUUUGAGUGGAAAAUGUAGAAUAUAUGAUCCACAAGAUCCUUGAAUAUACUUGGGUAUAUAGAAAUAAAAAUGAAUAUCCGAGACUCUUAUCUACAAGCCUAUCCUUAAGAAGGCACGUCCACGAAUGUUUCUAUCACAGAUUUUCAGUGGGCCAUCAUCUAUUACUUCAAGAUAUUGUUCUAAAAAUGCAUCUCAACCUCAAGCUUACUAAUCAUGUGACAAAAGUGAUAAUGUGAAUCUAGUUUUUCAAAUAAUUUCUUUAUUCAAUGACGACUAAUCAAAGAGUUGGUAUAUUUUUGUAUUCACAGUUCUUCAACUUUGUAUAUUUUCAUAUCUUGAGCCGCAUUGUAAUUUGUUUUUUCUUAUAUGCAAAAUUCAAAAUCAAAGAUUUAUAGAACAUUACAUAUUUAUUUCAUCAGACAUUUGAGAAUCCGAUAGAAAAUGUCUCGCAAACCGGAAAACAAACGUUAAAUCCGGAAAUUAAAACAAAACUAAGGAAACCAAAAAAAAAAAAGCAGAUGAUAAAAUCAAAGGUGAGGAGGGAGAUAAAGUUUUUUUUUUUUGAUGUUUACACAAAGCAAAGAAGCAGUGAAAUUAAGCAUCGGUGAAGCUUGCUGGCUUGUAGGCGAUGAAACUGAUGCACUGGACUUGACGGGUGUUGUCGAAUCCGAUGAUCCUAAUGAAGGCCUGGGGGUACUCCUUCUUGCACUCUUGCACUUCCUUCAACACUUGAGCUGAGUCAGUGCAUCCGAACAAAGGAAGCUUCCACAUUGUCCAGUACCGUCCAUCGUAGUAUCCGGGAGUGCUUCCGUGCUCACGGUGCACAAAUGCGUUCUACAAAAACACAUUACACAAAACCAUUCAAAAACAUAAAUCAAGAUUCUGCUUAGGACCUCUAAAUAGUUAUUAACUUGAUUGCAAGAUUCAUAUGGUCCAAGAGAUCAAGCUACUCUAUAAAUGAUUUUUAUUACCUCCAACUCGAAUUCAACACAGGGAAUCCACUUGUUGCGGAGAAGGUAGUCAACUUCCUUAGCCAAUUCAACUUCGGUUAGGUCAGGAAGGUAAGAGAGAGUCUCAAACUUCUUCUUACCAAUAGGAGGCCACACCUAUUUUUUGCCAUUUUUCCAAAAUCAACAAAAACAAUAUUAGUUUAUAUGAUUCGAUAAAUCAAAAACCCAUAAAUUUGUUUUUGGUAUAAGAGAUUUGACCUGCAUGCAGUUAACUCUUCCGCCGUUGCUUGCGAUGGAAGUAAUGUCGUUGUUGGCCUUACGGGUCACAGGGAAAGCAGCGGAGGACUUAAGUCCGGUGAAAGGUGCGACCAUUGUGGCCUGAGCCGGAGAAGCGACCAUUGUAGCGGAAGAGAGCAUAGAGGAAGCCAUAUUGCCUUUACUCUUUUUGUGUGUGACUUAGGUUUGGUCUAGUGCUUUGGUCAUCUAUAUAUAAUGGUAACAACAAUGAUAACAAGGUGAGGGAGUGAUCGGAGGGCUCA